CAACAUUUGAUACAAAAGGUACUCCAUUGCUUUGGUGGAAUAUACCAAUAUUUAACAGCACGCCAGAAGCUUCAAGAUUGUUGUGUUAAAAUGCUGCAAAGUUCCAAAAAGCAUGCAUAAAGCUUCCUAUGGAUUGGGUGGAAUAUUGAACUGCUGAAGGCGGGACAAGUUCCGAGUUGUUUAGCCUAAGACUUUAGGAAUAGUUACCUGCUUAUUGUAUCAGGUCCAUUUGAGAGGUUGGAAUACCAUAAAGCUUGUUUUAUGUAAUAUUAGAUAUCAAAGUGUUCAAUCUCUGCAUGGAAUAUUGUUUUCAGUAUUUAACAACUACAUUUGGCA
rnacentral:lncRNA from 1 species